GAUAAACGCUGGCGGCGUGCCUAACACAUGCAAGUCGAACGUCCUCUCUCGCAAGAGAGAGGGAGUGGCGGACGGGUGAGUAACACAUGGGUCACCUACCCUUAAGUGAGGAAUACCGGCGAGAAAUCGCCGACAAGACCGCAUAGGCUCUCUCUUUUGCAAGAGAGAGCAAAGCUUCGCAAGAGGCGCUUGAGGAUGGGCCUGUGGCCGAUUAGCUGGUGGUAGGGUAAUGGCUUACCAAGGCGACGAUCGGUAGCUGGUCUGAGAGGACGAUCAGCCACACUGGGAUUGAGAACGGCCCAGACU
rnacentral:rRNA from 1 species